rnacentral:rRNA from 1 species
AUUGAACGCUGGCGGCAGGCCUAACACAUGCAAGUCGAGCGGAUGAAGGGAGCUUGCUCCUGGAUUCAGCGGCGGACGGGUGAGUAAUGCCUAGGAAUCUGCCUGGUAGUGGGGGAUAACGUCCGGAAACGGGCGCUAAUACCGCAUACGUCCUGAGGGAGAAAGUGGGGGAUCUUCGGACCUCACGCUCUCAGAUGAGCCUAGGUCGGAUUAGCUAGUUGGUGGGGUAAAGGCCUACCAAGGCGACGAUCCGUAGCUGGUCUGAGAGGAUGAUCAGUCACACUGGAACUGAGACACGGUCCAGACUCCUACGGGAGGCAGCAGUGGGGAAUAUUGGACAAUGGGCGAAAGCCUGAUCCAGCCAUGCCGCGUGUGUGAAGAAGGUCUUCGGAUUGUAAAGCACUUUAAGUUGGGAGGAAGGGCAGUAAGUUAAUACCUGGCUGUUUUGACGUUACCAACAGAAUAAGCACCGGCUAACUUCGUG